rnacentral:rRNA from 1 species
GACGUAGGGUGCGAGCGUUGUCCGGAUUUAUUGGGCGUAAAGAGCUCGUAGGCGGUGUGUCGCGUCGGCCGUGAAAACCUGCAGCUUAACUGUGGGCUUGCGGUCGAUACGGGCAUCACUGGAGUUCGGCAGGGGAGACUGGAAUUCCUGGUGUAGCGGUGAGAUGCGCAGAUAUCAGGAGGAACACCGGUGGCGAAGGCGGGUCUCUGGACAGUUCCUGACGGCUGAGGCACGGAAGGUCAGGGGAGCAAACGGG